rnacentral:misc_RNA from 1 species
GUGAUUAAAUCGAGCGUGUCUUCAUUGACCGCUCACCCUUCUCACCAUCCACAUACACCUGUGCACUAUUUAGCCUGAGCCGGUUUUCCGGUCCAGGUUAUCAUUUCAUACAAACUCUAGUCUUAUGAAUGUAAACGUUUUAAUAACAUACUA